GUCUACAGCCAUACCACCCCUGAGUGUGCCUCAUCUUGGCUGAUCUUGGAAGCUUAGCAGGGUCGGGCCUGGUCAGUACUUGGAUGGGAGACUCCCUGGGAAUAUUGGGUACAGCGGGCU
ensembl:rRNA 5S_rRNA 5S ribosomal RNA